rnacentral:lncRNA from 1 species
UCCAGUGCCUAAGUGCAGUGAGUUGCUUACAAGUCACCGUGGUGGUCUCAGGUUGGAGGGACAUUUAUACCCAUAUCCCAUCGGAGCAAAUCUUGACAGCAGAAAUAGCUCCGGAGUUGGUCACGUUCAGUGCAGAUGUACCAUUACAUCUCACCUGUAUACCAUACCAGUGUCUCCACACUCUUUGGUUAUGAGGACAACCAACCCAUAUGGCACACAACGACCUAUGCUCGAUAAACGUUGUCGUCCUUGGUAACAAUGUAUCAUUUGGUCGCGAACAUGUUUAAGGACUAAGCGACAAAUCCUCCUUUGUCG